AAAACUUAUUUCUAAUUGCUAUUUGCAAACUUCCUACGACUAUAGAAUUAAUUGUAGAUAUUUUUGAAGGCAUAAAUGAAGAGAUUUCAAAUGAAAACAAAAGGGAUUAAAUUUUGCAGAGUUUUAUGGUCCUUAUUCUUAAAGUUAUUAAGUAGAACUCAAGAGAGAAAGUAAAAGAAAUUUAAGAGUUUUUUUUAAUUCAGUCCUUCCAAUAUUUGUUCAACUC
rnacentral:lncRNA from 1 species